CCUACGGGAGGCAGCAGUGGGGGAUAUUGCACAAUGGGGGGAACCCUGAUGCAGCGACGCCGCGUGGGUGAAGAAGUAUUUCGGUGUGUAAAGCUCUGUCAGCAGGGAAGAAAAUGACGGUACCUGAUUAAGAAGCCCCGGCUAACUACGUGCCAGCAGCCGCGGUAAUACGUAGGGGGCAAGCGUUAUCCGGAUUUACUGGGUGUAAAGGGGGCGUAGACGGCAGCACAAGUCUGGAGUGAAAGGCCGGGGCUUAACCCCGGAACUGCUUGGGAAACUGUGUAGCUAGAGUGCAGGAGAGGUAAGUGGAAUUCCUAGUGUAGCGGUGAAAUGCGUAGAUAUUAGGAGGAACACCAGUGGCGAAGGCGGCCUACUGGACUGUAACUGACGUUGAGGCCCGAAAGCGUGGGGAGCAAACAGGAUUAGAUACCCGUGUAGUC
rnacentral:rRNA from 1 species